rnacentral:rRNA from 1 species
UAGAGUAAUGCGUGACCAACCUCGCCCCAUGCUCCAGAAUAGCUCUUGGGAAACGGGUGGUAAUGCUGGAUGCUCCAACUUGACGCAUGUCUUGUUGGGAAAGUGUUUAGUGGCAUGGGAUGGGGUCGCGUCCUAUCAGCUUGUAGGCGGGGUAAUGGCCCACCUAGGCUUCGACGGGUAGCCGGCCUGAGAGGGCGGACGGCCACAUUGGGACUGAGAUACGGCCCAGACUCCUACGGGAGGCAGCAGCG